rnacentral:rRNA from 1 species
AUUGAACGCUGGCGGCAGGCUUAACACAUGCAAGUCGAACGAGUGGCGGACGGGUGAGUAAUGCUUGGGAAUCUGGCUUAUGGAGGGUGAUAACGACGGGAAACUGUCGCUAAUACCGCGUACCAUAGGAUGAGCCCAAGUGGGAUUAGGUCGUUGGUGGGGUAAUGGCCUACCAAGCCGACGAUCUCUAGCUGGUCUGAGAGGAUGACCAGCCACACCUGGAAUGAGACCAGGCCAGGACUCCUACGGGAGGCAGCAGUGGGGAAGAUUGCGGAAUGGGGGCAACCUGACGCAGCCAUGCCGCGUGAAUGAAGAAGGCCUUCGGGUUGGAAAGUUCUUUCGGUAUUGAGGCGGUAAAUACAGAAGAAGCACCGGAUAACUCCGUGCCAGCAGCCGCGGUAAUUC